GUCACUGCAGCGUACAGUCUGCCCCCAGUCCAACAUGAGAGGAUGAACAAGUACCACUGCCCUGAGGGCAAGAAACCAUGUUGGUGGCAAAGAAAUUUAUUAUUUUAAAUUUAUCACUUAUAAGUGAAAUACAAAAUGAGCGUUAACAAUGGCGCUGCUUUCCACCGCUGGAGAUAGCUCUUAGCGAGGAAAGGGAUGAAGUUUGAUGCUGAACUGGCAAUGUUUCUUCUACACUGGAGGACAGCGACGAAACUGUGUGCGCCUCCUCAGCGAGAAGUGGAGCAAAGGUGCCAGAGAGAGGGAGAGAGAGGCUGGAAGAUGUGAUGUCACUUCUCUCUUUCUCCUCCUCUGCGAUGCCCCCCAGUGUGUGGAUGCUGGUGUCUACAAUUUGUUUACAUGCAAAACAGGGCGCUGCCCAGCAGAGCAUCCAGCUCUGGGUUGAUCUCCGCUUUCUCCUUCAGCAUGUGGAACAGCAGCUGGUUCUGGGUGGCGCUGUUGAUCUCUGUCUGCUUCAACCUGCCCUCCAUCACCUUCAGCUGGGAAUCCUUCUGAGACGCCUGCAGACCCUGACAAUGACCACACAGCAGGUUGCCGGGAGGCGUGUCUGUUGCCUGGGGAGCUGAUUACACACACCUGCACAGGAUUUGCACUCCCUCGGGUUCCUGUCCUAUUUAAGUGGCGGCCUGACAUCCUGUCCUCGCCGGAUCGUUAUGUCGUUUUUUCGAACUCAACCGGACCCGUCGGAAACCAACUCUCCUCCCCUACCUCCUGGACCUCACUCUCCUGCCUGUUUCUCCGCCCUGAUCCCAAUCAGCUUCCCUCGCCUGUUUGCUCUGCCUGCCCCGGCCUCUGCAGCCGCAACCAGCUCUUUGUUUAAUAAAUCUCUGAGAACAA